rnacentral:lncRNA from 1 species
UUUAUCUGCUUUCACAAUCCUGUAACCCAGGGCUUACUCGUGCACAGUGCCUAUUGCAUUUAGAAGCACCAUCCUUAAGUGGCAAGAGUUGUCAAAAGCAAGGGAAUCCAUUUGUUUAUCUUCUUCACUCAGGAAUGAAGAAUAACUCCACUGCCUAAAAGUUGAGAAAUGGAAAAUAACCCCUGUAUAUUGUGCUCAAUAAUGUUUUUUCCCUCGCAGAUGCAUCUGACACCUGCUCCUUCUGCGAGUGAGCCAAGGCAGAUGAAAAGCAAGGGAGGAGCACUGUGUAACAUUGCUCUUGAUGGGCUCUAGAAGGAUCAGUAAAAGUAUUGGGUAGCUGGAAACAAUCACAGCUGCUAAAAAAUUUGCCCUCUGCUUUAAUAUGCAUCAUUUACAUGCUUAUUCAGAAAAUUACAUUAGUCUGGAAAGAUACUAUGUGCAAGAAUGGUGAUGCAUGUUUAAAAAUCCCAAAUAAAUGCAGACAUAAUUAUACAUGUACAUAGGUACACCAAUAACCCCUUUCCCAGGGAAAAUUUACUUCCCUCCAGCUUUAGGCUUGCAUCAAUAGGGCUUCCCUCAGCUUUUGUCUUCAGUAGCCAUGUGAGACAUAGACCACAUCUAUAUAACAGCCAUUUGAUGAUAAGGGUAUUGUUUGAAUUCUUUCACUUAUUUAAUUUGAAUUUUCAAUGCUAAUUGUAUCCAAUUGCACAUGGUUAUUUUCUCUUUAAAUAAAGGUAGCAGGAGUCCAGAUCAUUUUCCUCAGUACCACUGUGGCUGCUAGCACGUCCUAGAAACCACAGUGGAGUGUGCAGAAAGCUUUUCACACCAGUGCUGCUAGCAGAAAGCUACAAAUCUCCACCCACUAAUAUUCCUGACAGAACCCACAGCUUCAGUCCUAAACUAAGAAGGGUCAAUUGCUGGAAUAAUCUCUCAGUUCAGAGAUUAAAGCCCUGACAAUGUAAUUCCAUUGCUAUACAACUUCCACAUGGGGAAGGAAAGAACCUUUUGGCAUAGAACAAGCACUUUCCAGAGUAAAAAUGUCAUUGUUUACUCCUUCCAACUCCAGGCAGAGUCACCAAGCCUGCUAUGCUUGGACAAUUGCCUGCUGGUUUGAUCAGCCUGAGGCAAGCAGGAGGUGCUUGAAAGCUCAUCCAGAUCCAUUUGUGAUACCACAAAUGUUUAUUUUCUAUACAAAGAACAAUUCACAGUUACUCCAGUUGAUUUUUUGAGGUUUUCAUAUUUAGAUAAUAUUUUGCACUGUUUUCCUUCAGCAAUACAACUAGAGGAGAAAAUAUGAAAGUUGUUCUUUGUGCUGUGGCAAAGACGCAGAUGCACAAUAUUUGGUCUAGCUAUAGUUCCAAAAUAUCCUAAUGUGGACAUAGCUUUUACUGGCAAAAGAAUACUAGUUAAUGUCACAGUUUGCUGAAUUAGGCUGAGCAGUUUUUCAAUAAUUUAUACUUUUUCCAUUUCUACAAGGUUUCAGCUGUCCAACAGUUUUCCUAACCCAAGUGUCCUUUAAAUAAAUAUGGUCCUCAGCAACAAAAAACAAAUCCCAAGUAAGGCCCAGAUCCAGGGUAAAAUUUACACCAUUUAAAGUCACUUCCUAAAGAGAUGGCUGGACAGAGUGAGUACUUAUUUAAUAGAGUAUGACUGUAUCUCAGUUUCUGCUUCCAAGCUUUGUGUUAGAAGCCUUUUAUUUGGGCAGGCAUACAAUAAUGACUUUCUGCCAUAAAAUAAGUAUUUCCACAUUAGAAACAUUUCACUUGUCUCUCCUGAAACCUUUUAAUUUCACCCCUGAAUAUUUUACAUGGAUGUGCAUUGCCAAGUUGCAAAACCAACGAUCUUUUCUUCAGUUAUAUUUUUCCAGAUAAAACACAGGUGCAAUGACGAUGAUAAUUGUUUGACUUUAGAUAAAGUGUUAGUGAGUGCUGACAGCAUCCUGAAUCCCUGUAAAUAGUUUCACUUUUUUCUGACUUGGCACUGCCUAGAAUUUGGACAGGUACAUUAACAAAAAAGCACAUUACCAACCAAACAAAAGGAGUUUCAUUCAGAGGUGUCUCUUUCUUGACAGAGGGCCAAAGAAAGGGAGGAUGAUCAGGAUUUGAGCUGGUCUCUGUAAUGUAGAAAAGACUCCCAGAGAGGGUGGAUCAUUUCUGUACAUUCUGUAUAUUUCUGUACACUCCAUCUUCCCAGUAAGCAACCCUAAUAAACCAAGGCCAUAUUGCUUCUGAUGCAAACUCAGCGGGUACCCACAACAAAACAUAACCUGCAGCUCCUGGUUCUUUCUUAUCAACUGGAAAAGAGAUGCUGGCUCAGAGAUGCCUGGGGACAAGAAACCAGUGAAAGUCAUUUAACAUCUAUUUUAUUGCAAAGCCCUGGAGACUGUUUCAGUCCCACACCAGGGACAAAGACACGAAAGAAUAGUUCUUGGGGGACACCAAAGUUGUAAAAUACAGUAAGCUAUGUCACAAAGAAUGAAAAUAGCUGUGGUUUACAUUCCCAACAUUUUUAAAGGAUAUGAAUUAUUGAAGACCUAGACAAUAGAAGUAAACCAGAAAAUAUAUAACACUCAAAUUGGAAAAUAUAUUUACUAGUACGUCAAAUAGCUGUUGCAUUUUUUAUACCUACAGAUGUAUCAA